AGAGGAAGGAGAAGAACAGAAAGAUGGGGAAGAGGGAACAGAAAGUGAAGUAUAAGUUAAGAUGUGAGAUGAGAGCUGUGUCAUAAAAAAAAACCCCACAGAAACCGCUGCGCAAUGCUGGAAACUGAGAGGAGCAGAGGUUAUCAUCCUGGAAGCUCCCGCUGACACUCAGAGAAACGCUGCGGGCUCCAUUCGUCAGCUUGCUGCUCUCUCUUUCCAGCACUCCAUUACACCACUCCUCACUUUGCUCCUCAUCUAUAUUACUAAGCCACAGACAUCAGAGCCUGCACAGAUAGAAUACCGCAUCAGGCCUUUCUACAAGAGGGCUCUCUGCUGGAGUGGGGCUGGGGCUCAGGGAGAAGAUUCAUCACCAAAGAGCAGCUGGAAAGAUGGAUGGAAGCUGGCUGGAGAUGCAGGACCAACGGAGGAGACUUCUCUGUGUCGUCUCCAGGAUGGCAAUGUCAUGUGACUUUCAGCCAUGUUUUCAUAGCUGUAUUUAUGUAGCGUAUUAGCACGUAAUUAGAGACCAAUUUUUUUUUUUUUUUUUCGUUUGUUUUAGUGCACAGGAAACUCACUGAGUAGAAAGAGCAAGUAGGAAUGGGACGCAGAAAAUGAUCUGGGCAGAAUUAGACAGAGGCCUCUGCAACCUUUCAGCAUAAAGAUGACCUACUCUACCAGGUCAGCUGCCCUAUAGGCCGAUUUUCAUUCUUUUAGCAAAUAUGUCAAGACAUCAUUCUGCUAUUUUUACUGUAAACAUAUCACAACCCCAAUGCUGUUUAAAAUGUAAAUAGAGAAUGUCAUGAUUUGCAAAUCUCAUCAUCUCAUAUGUUAUUCACAAAAGGACGCAUCAGAAAUACCAAAUGUUUAAACCAAGAAAAUUUUCCAUCUUAAUAAAAAUACUGACUCAUUUUGAAUUUGAUGGCAGCAACACAUCUUUAAAAAACAGAAGCAUAGACAGAAGCCUCCUUCAAGGCCCUCUUUGAAAAGGAGGUCAUCCAUCUAGCUUUGAUGGUGCCUUUCCGGAUGCAGGCUUUUGAACUGAGCACUGAUAACUAGUCAGAUGGUCUCUCCUUGCCUUAGUCCAGAGGACACGGCAUCCAUGUUUUCCAAAAAAGAAUUUUCAAAUUUUAAUUCAGUUCCACUUUCCCUCAGUCCAUUUUAUAAGGGCUUUGAACCAAUGUCUGGAUCAUGUUCAUGAUGUGCAUGAUAGAGUGUUAUCCUGCAUUUGUAGACAGAACAGCAAACGGUGUUCACAGACAGUGAUUUGUGGAAGAGUUUAUGAGCUCAUGCAGUGACUCCUAUGACAGAAUCGUGCCUGCUUGUAAUGCAGCGCAGCCAGAGGACCCGCCAGAAUCUAGUACGUAUUUUCAUCUUGGUACUUUGAAUGAUAUUAUGCACUGGUAAAGACUUUGCAUUAAGGUAUUUAAAUUCUGUGAUGAUUAUCGUUCCAAAAUUGUUCCACAAUUUGUUAAUGCAGUUUUUUUACAGAUUGAUUCUAUCGUGAAUAAAAUUUUGGUUUAUGAGAUUUGCAAAAACAGUUACAUACCAACUGUUUUAGUCUUGGAGUUGUAUUAAGACUUCUAGUGAGAUAUACAUGCUGUAAGGUAGUAUAGCUGUGUCCUGUUUGACAAUUAACACUCUGAGCGCUUUUGUACUGAAUAUAUUAAGUAUAUUAUAUUAUAUUAAUAUUCAUUUAUUCAUUUAUUCGUUUAUUCGUUUCCUUCCUUCUCUUGUCUGCUGAAACAGUGUUUAAUGUUUAAAAUCCAACUGCCGCUGAAGCAUCAGAAACUACAAAUAUGAGGUGCACAGGCACAAAAACAAGCUCUAAAAGAGUGUCAUCAUAAUACUUAUGUAUUAUGUUGACACUCUUAUACAUAUAACAUAUUAUGUAAGGCAAUAAAAAUAUUUACAAAGUUUUCUAAAACUCAUCACCAAAUUGCUUGUUUUAGGUAACGAUCAAUUUUGAAAUGAUUUUUUAUUAAAUAAAGAAAGCUGCAAAACCUUAAA